GGCUUGUGCGCUCAGUUGUCUUUUAGAUUCCACACGGUGCGGUUGUACGAAGCGGAUGGUUAUGCGUGUACCAAAUUUUGAAAAAUUCUUAACACAGCGGUCUGAAACAGAGCAAAAAAAUACAUAGUACAUGAAUAAAUAGAAGAACCUGAAAAGAUAUAAAAUACUUUACGCUUGUAAAAUCACAAGGUGUUUGUGCAUUAUUAUUGUUGCUUGCCUGUUAAGUUGAGAAUUUACAACAAUAGCUAAAUUGAGUAGUAAAGUGGGCGAAUGUCUCGAGCGGUAGAGGAUAAACAAUUGUCAAAGUGGCAACGAUACCAAAACCGUCACAACAACAAAGUGUUUUGUGUAAUGUGAGUGUGUGCCGAAAAAAGCUGAACCGAAAUUAAGUAAUAAAGCGAGAGGCAAUAAAAGGCAAACAGCAGUGAAUAAUUAAAGAAAAAUAUUAAAAAAAAAGAACAAGUAUAACAAUAACAAAGUGUUCAAAAUUGGCUGCUUAGCUGAGU